rnacentral:pre_miRNA from 1 species
UCUCUACUCCCUUCGUCCGAAAAUACUUGUCAUCAAAAUGGAUAAAAAGAGAUGUAUCUAAAACUAAAAUACGUCUAGAUACAUUUCUUUUUAUCCAUUUUGAUGACAAGUAUUUCCGGACGGAGGGAGUAUUUG